rnacentral:rRNA from 1 species
UACGUAGGGGGCUAGCGUUGUCCGGAUUUAUUGGGCGUAAAGAGCGUGUAGGCGGCCAGGUAGGUCUGCUGUGAAAACUCGAGGCUCAACCUCGAGACGUCGGCGGAAACCAUCUGGCUAGAGGCCGGAAGAGGAGAGUGGAAUUCCUGGUGUAGCGGUGAAAUGCGCAGAUAUCAGGAAGAACACCCGUGGCGAAGGCGGCUCUCUGGGACGGUACUGACGCUGAGACGCGAAAGCGUGGGGAGCGAACAGG